rnacentral:rRNA from 1 species
UACGUAGGGACCAAGCGUUGUUCGGAUUUACUGGGCGUAAAGGGCGCGUAGGCGGCCCUACAAGUCACUUGUGAAAUCUCCGGGCUUAACUCGGAACGGCCAAGUGAAACUGUAAGGCUAGAGUGCAGAAGGGGCAAUCGGAAUUCUUGGUGUAGCGGUGAAAUGCGUAGAUAUCAAGAGGAACACCUGAGGUGAAGACGGGUUGCUGGGCUGACACUGACGCUGAGGCGCGAAAGCCAGGGGAGCAAACGGG